AGCCUUCGGGCUUCUAGUGGCGAAAGGGGUGAGUAACACGUGAGCAACCUGCCCCCUGGUUCCGAAUAAGCCUUGGGAAACGAGGUCUAAUGCGGGAUGCGGAAAGAUGUCACCUGACAUCUUCUCCAAAGAUUUAUCGCCGGGGGAUGGGCUCGCGGCCCAUUAGCUAGUUGGCGGGGUAAUGGCCCACCAAGGCUCUGACGGGUAGGUGGACUGAGAGGUCGGUCACCCACACUGGGACUGAGACACUGCCCAGACUCCUACGGGAGGCUGCAGUCGAGAAUCUUCCGCAAUGGGCGAAAGCUGACGGAGCAAUGCCGCGUGAGGGAUGACAGUCUUCGGACCGUAAACCUCUGUCACCCGGGACGAACACCAUGACGGUACCGGGAGAGGAAGCCAUGGCUAACUACGUGCCAGCAGCCGCGGUAAUACGUAGAUGGCGAGCGUUAUUCGGAUUUACUGGGCGUAAAGGGUCCGCAGGGGCCUGUCAAGCCCGCCGUGAAACCCCCGGGGCUCAACCCCGGGACUGCGGUGGGGACUGCCGGGCUAGAGUGUGUGAUGGGCAGACGGAACACCUGGUGUAGCGGUGGAAUGCGUAGAUAUCAGGUGGAACACCGAUGGGCGAAGGCGGUCUGCUGGCACAUCACUGACCCUCAGGGACGAAAGCGUGGGUAGCGAACAGGAUUAGAUACCCUGGUAGUCCACGCCGUAAACGUUGAGUACUAGACGUCCGGGGGCUGACCCCCCGGGUGUCCAAGCAAACGCGGUAAGCACACCGCCUGGGGACUACGGCCGCAAGGCUAAAACUCAAAGGAAUUGACGGGGGCCCGCACAAGCGGUGGAGCAUGUUGCUUAAUUCGAGGCAACGCGAAGAACCUUACCCAGGUUUGACAUGCUUUCGACCGGCGUUGAAAGACGCCUUUCUUCGGGACGGAAGCACAGAUGCUGCAUGGCUGUCGUCAGCUCGUGCCGUGAGGUGUUCGGUUAAGUCCGGCAACGAGCGCAACCCGUACUGCCAGUUACCAUCAAGUAAUGUUGGGGACUCUGGCGGGACUGCCCGUGUCAAGCGGGAGGAAGGCGCGGAUGACGUCAAGUCCGUAUGGCUCUUACACCUGGGGCCGCAAACGUGCUACAAUGGCGGGUACAAUGGGCUGCUGCAUCGCGAGAUGUGGCGAACCUCCAAAACCCGCCCCAGUUCGGAUUGCAGCCUGCAACUCGGCUGCAUGAAGUCGGAAUCGCUAGUAAAGGGACAUCAGCUACGGUCCCUUGAAUACGUUCCCGGGCC
rnacentral:rRNA from 1 species